GUUUCAGCAGCCGCGGUAAUACGAGGGGGGCAAAUGUUGUUCGGAAUCACUGGGCGUAAAGGGAGCGUAGGCGGGCUUCUAAGUUAGAUGUUUAAUCCCGGGGCCCAACCCCGGACAGGCACCUAAAACUGGAAGUCUUGAAUAGUGGAGAGGACGGCGGAAUUGGGGGUGUAGCGGUGGAAUGCGUAGAGAUCCCCAAGAACACCAGUUGCGAAGGCGGCCGUCUGGACACAUAUUGACGCUGAGGCUCGAAAGCAUGGGGAGCAAACAGGAUUAGAAACCCUUGUAGUCC
rnacentral:rRNA from 1 species